UACGUAGGUGGCGAGCGUUGUCCGGAUUUACUGGGCGUAAAGGGAGCGUAGGCGGACUUUUAAGUGAGAUGUGAAAUACUCGGGCUCAGCUUGAGUGCUGCAUUUCAAACUGGAAGUCUAGAGUGCAGGAGAGGAGAAUGGAAUUCCUAGUGUAGCGGUGAAAUGCGUAGAGAUUAGGAAGAACACCAGUGGCGAAGGCGAUUCUCUGGACUGUGACUGACGCUGAGGCUCGGAAGCGUGGGGAGCAAACAGG
rnacentral:rRNA from 1 species